rnacentral:rRNA from 1 species
CCUUAGAUGUUCUGGGCCGCACGCGCGCUACACUGACAGAGCCAGCGAGUAAUAACCUUUGCCGGAAGGCAUGGGUAAUCUUGUGAAACUCUGUCGUGAUGGGGAUAGAACAUUGCAAUUAUUGUUCUUCAACGAGGAAUACCUAGUAAUCGUGAUUCAUCAGAUCGCGUUGAUUACGUCCCUGCCCUUUGUACACACCGCCCGUCGCUACUACCGAUUGAAUGGCUUAGUGAGGCCUCCGGAUUGGCUAUUGGGAUCCCGCGAGGGAGCCUGACUGCGAGAAGUUGUACGAACUUGGUCAUUUAGAGGAAGUAAAAGUCGUAACAAGGUU